UAGCACAGAGAGCUUGCUCUCGGGUGACGAGCGGCGGACGGGUGAGUAAUGUCUGGGAAACUGCCUGAUGGAGGGGGAUAACUACUGGAAACGGUAGCUAAUACCGCAUAAUGUCGCAAGACCAAAGUGGGGGACCUUCGGGCCUCAUGCCAUCAGAUGUGCCCAGAUGGGAUUAGCUAGUAGGUGGGGUAACGGCUCACCUAGGCGACGAUCCCUAGCUGGU
rnacentral:rRNA from 1 species